rnacentral:tRNA from 2 species
UGAGAGAAUGGUGUAAUUGGUAUAUCACGCCUUAUUAAUAAAUUUGAUGCAUGCAUUAUAUUUAUUAAUGGGGAGAAAAGUAGGUUCGAAUCCUACUCUCUAAA